CCAAGCUCCCUCAGCCGCUCCCGGUGCUCCAACCCCUUCCCCAGCUCCACUGCCUUUCUCUGGACACAUACGGCCCAUUUUCAGUUUCCAGGGACAACAACCCACAAGAAGAACCAAAACGCGGUGGGAUUUUUGGGUUCCCCCCGACCCUUACUCUUACACUCCCCUCACCCCACCCGACACCCCCCCCCAGCAGCCGCCGGGGCCGCCCCGCCUGAGGCGGGUGGAGCGCUGAGGAGACGGACCCCGUGAGGAGGGGAACCGGCACCCGCAGCCGAGGAGAAGGAGGCACAGCUUUUGGGGAGAAAGGACGAGGCAAUGUCACCCAUUCAGCUUUCUGAACGAGCACAAAGCAUGGCCAGGAGCACCAUAACAGCACUAUUACGAUUACAGUCAAGAGACCAUUGUCCACACGGGCAUGGUGGAGCACGGGACCACAGCUGGAAGCCAGAGUGAGUUGGCAAACAUCUCGUUCCAACUUCUGCUGUGCCAUCUGGCUUCCAGUGAGCUUUUUCACAAGAAAGAAGGAAAGAGACGGCGAUGUGCUCAAAACCCAACAACAUGAACGCAAACAGAAGUAUGAGGAGUUUUGACUGUUCUUAAAGAGAAAAUUGGGAGUGAAUGGUCCAGCAUUUUGUGAAUAAUGCAGCGAGACAUCAGUACAAGGGGAUCACACAGCACAGGGCACAGCUCUGGAGCACGGGUUUCCAGCUGCAGACACUGCAACAGUGAUGUAUAUAGUCCAGUCUGUACACUGCAAUGUAUAAUGCAAGAGUUAUUUUAUCCACACUGACCUUGCUCUUUCCAGGAACUACAGCCUCCACAUCUUUGGCUGUUGUUGCCCUUGAAAAUUACCAGGAGCACUGGACAGAUAGUACAUAUUGGCUCUCCUUGUACUAAAUUUGAGGGCAUUUCUGCGUCACCAAUAGAAUAAAUUGUGCUAAAAGAGGUGUCAUACA